rnacentral:rRNA from 1 species
UAGUCUGCAACUCGACUACAUGAAGCUGGAAUCGCUAGUAAUCGCGGAUCAGAAUGCCGCGGUGAAUACGUUCCCGGGUCUUGUACACACCGCCCGUCACACCAUGGGAGUCAGCAACGCCCGAAGCCGGUGACCCAACCUUUCUAGGAGGGAGCCGUCGAAGGCGGGGCCGAUGACUGGGGUGAAGUCGUAACAAGGUAGC